rnacentral:lncRNA from 1 species
CCCUCAGUGGGAAGAAGAGGACGAGUGUGAAACAACCGUUGUAUUCUAAAAGGUUAAGCUGUCAGGGAAUGGUGUGUUUAUAUAAUUUUAACACUCCCCCUCACGUCUGGGCUUGAGACUUUUUAGUCGGCCCAUGACGUGUGCUUGAAUUAAAUGGGAGAAAUUUAAUAUGCUAAGAGUCUGACGUGACUCGAACUCAGAACCUCCUAUUCUGAUACUAUGUGAAACAACCGUUGUACUCUAAAAACUUAAACUGUUAGAGAACGGUGUGUUUAUAUAAUUUUAUAU